CCUAUGAGUUGAAGUUAUUGAGGAUAUCGUAUAUAAGGAUUAUUGAUGCUGUUGCUUGUGUUAGGAAAUAUUUUGUGGCGGCUUCUCUUGAACGUGGGUU